rnacentral:lncRNA from 1 species
GUCGCGAUGGUUCCAGCCGGGGAAGGGUGCCCUCGCUAAGGAGAUUGCGGCGGACCCGGAAGUGCUUGGCCACAGUCGCAGCCCCGGCGCCCCGAAGCGGGAAAAAGGCUGGGUGCCGCCGUCCCCCAGCUGCGCAACCCUAGGAACUCUCGGAUCAACCUGGAUGCCUUCCUUCACAAUAAUCUCAUGGAGGUAAUUUAAAGAAUCCCUUUUUUGGAGAGUCAGAGAGAAAAGCAAAAAAAAAGAGCAUGAGGAAUUUGAAGACUGAGAGAUGAGUUGUGUAGCACCAACAUUUUCUUUCUGCCUGACCUUCAUACCUGAUGAAUUAAAAGUACUGGUGACAGUAACAGUUUCCCUCUGUCUUUUGGCUGUCCACACUGAAGGAUGAUAGAGAUGAGUAGAAGAAGGCCAAACCCAGCCAUCACCAGAACAGGGCCUGCUGGCUUUGUGAGCAUUUCACAAUAUUGUCUGGAGCUGUUUGGCUUAUAGAAGAGGGAAGGUACUAUGAGAAAAAAAGAAGCAGUAAACUGCCCCUUCUACCAAUGUCUAAGAUGAACGGGAAAAAUGCAUAUAAAUGGAAUUUUUCUUUUACGUGAUGAUACAGUGUUUUGGUGUCCCAAAGAAAUAAAAUCCAGCACUGUCCAAUUGAAGUAUAAUGCAAGCCACAUUUCUAGUAGCCAUAUUUUAAAAAGUAACAAUAAAGUGUUGAAAUUUACCUUAAUACUGCCUUUUUUAACCAAAUAGGUCCAAAAUAUUAUUAUUUUGACAGGCAUUAUGAGUUGAGUUGUGUCCCCCACAAAAUUCAUGUUGAAGCCCUAACCAGCAGUACCACAGAAUGUGACUAUAUUGAGAGAUGGGGUUUUAAAAGAAGUAAUUAAGUUAAAAUGGUUUCAUUAGGGUGGGCCCUAAUCCAAUAUAACUGAUGUUCUUAUAACAAGAGGCAAUAUGGACAUGGGCACACACAGAGGGAAGAUCAUGUGAUGACAUGAGUCAAGAAGAGAGGCCUCAGAAGAAACCAACCUGACAACACCUGGAUCUCAGACUUCUACCUUCUAGAAUUGUGAAAAAUACAUUUAUCUUGCUUAACCCACCUAGUCUAUGAUAAUUUGUUAUGGCAUCUCUAGCAAACUAAUACAAUAUGUAAUCAAUUAAUGAAAAUAAAAUGUAUUAAUAAGAUAUUUUGCAUUCUUUUAUUGUAGAAAGUAUUGGAAAUCUAAUGUAUAUGUUACACUUACAGCACAUCACAACUGGAACUAGCCACAUUUCUUUCUCUUGCCAAAUAGUACUGGCUAGAACUUCCAGUACUAUGUUAAAUAAGAGUAGAGAAAGUGGACAUCAUUGUCUUGUUCUAGUUCUUAGAGAAGGAGCUUCCAGAUUUUCCUUGUUUAGUAUGAUGUUAGCUGUGGUUUUGUCAUAUAAGCCCUUUAUUGUGU